CUGAUCCCAUCCCGAACUCAGCAGUGAAACGAUGCAUCGCCGAUGGUAGUGUGGGGUUUCCCCAUGUGAGAGUAGGUCAUCGUCAAGA
rnacentral:rRNA from 9 species